rnacentral:rRNA from 1 species
UGGGGAAUAUUGCACAAUGGGGGAAACCCUGAUGCAGCGACGCCGCGUGGAGGAAGAAGGUCUUCGGAUUGUAAACUCCUGUUGUUGAGGAAAAAGAGGAUGGUACUCAACAAGGAAGUGACGGCUAACUACGUGCCAGCAGCCGCGGUAAAACGUAGGUCACAAGCGUUGUCCGGAAUUACUGGGUGUAAAGGGAGCGCAGGCGGGUAUGCAAGUUGGGAGUGAAAUACAUGGGCUCAACCCAUGAACUGCUCUCAAAACUGUGUAUCUUGAGUAGUGCAGAGGUAGGCGGAAUUCCCGGUGUAGCGGUGGAAUGCGUAGAUAUCGGGAGGAACACCAGUGGCGAAGGCGGCCUACUGGGCACCAACUGACGCUGAGGCUCGAAAGUGU